AUCGUAUCAAGAGCGCGGUGAAGGAACUGGCCUGAUGACCCGCCGACAACCCUCGAAAGAGAAGGUGCCACAUCCAGCCCGUAUGGGAAGAUACUUU
rnacentral:ncRNA from 2 species